GAACAUGAUGUGCCACUAGCCACUGACACGUCUGAUCUGCUUGUUCUCUCAGUCUAUGUGUUUCCCAAGUAUAUGUGGCAGUUAUCUGUAUGCCAUGUGAUCUUUGAAAUUGGUUUGGUCCUAUAGUCCACCAUGCCACAUAGAAAAUCAUACAGCACAGUCUUCAGUGAAGUCACUCCCACAGCAAAUCACCAAUAAAUGCUGGAAGUAUUUCCAUCAAGAGGCCACUGUGGUUCAAGCCAGCAGGAGUCAAGUGUGGUGUAAUAACAAUUUCUGCAUGACGCUGUGGUAAAGAUGGAUUUUGUUGAAGAGAGUGAAGACGUCAGUGAUGCUGAAUCCUGCAAGUUGAAUGAUGAAGAGGCUGAAGAACAAAGAGAACUGAUGGAAUCGAACAAGGAAUGUCAAGCACAGAAUAAAAAGGAGGAGAAUCAGGAAGAUCCCAAUUCUGUAACUGGAG